UUCAGUGUUCCGUCUUUGUCAUGCCGCUCGAUAUUUGCAGUUUAAAUGGACUCCUCAUCGUAACACUUGUUGCCAGUCCAGUCGUCCAACAUGAAGAUAAUAUAUUUGUUUUCGAUUUUAUUCAUUCACAGCUGCUAUUUGCUGCAAGGAGCACACACCCUCCCUAUGCCUGCUCCUCAAUUCCUGGAAGAAAACAUUUGUGGGCUUCCGUUAGAGCCGGAACGUUGUUUGUGUAAAACGCAAGAUGACGUUUCAGAAUGCGAAUAUUUUUCGUGAAAGAGCAGUAAUGUGAGUGGAUAAAGCGCCCCCAAUCGCAUUAUUUUUGCCUUUGGUAGAACAAAAUAAUUUUUCAUGGAGAUUUGAUUCGCAUUAUUAAAAUGCUCAUAUGCACUGGCAGCCAUCAAUCAGAUUGGUUCGAAUAUUCGGAAUGGACCAUCGGAAAAAUCGCGUCAUACUUUGUUUUAUUCUGUUUUCCAGUUAUUUUGGGCUGAUUGAACCACAUAUUGAUUCAAACAAACAUCCCGAGAUGGUAUGCAAUCCGAAAGUUGUAUUCAAAGAUGAAUGUGGUAAUAUUUGCGUUUGUAAUCCACGAAGUGUCGCUCUAUGUGACGAUAAAGUUAUGAAGAGAUGUGGCAAAUAAUCGGUGACUAAGGCAAUCAACACACUUUUCAAUCCAAAUCAAAUAUACGGGAUUUCACAUGCUGCCGCUGCUUCGAACAAACUAGUGUCAUCCUCAGUGAAAACAACGCUAAACCUUCUCAUUAAUAAAGAAAUACAACAGCAAAACUUUUCGCUACAA